rnacentral:rRNA from 1 species
AACGAACGCUGGCGGCGUGCCUAACACAUGCAAGUCGUGCGAGAAAGUUCCUUCGGGAGCGAGUAAAGCGGCGCACGGGUGAGUAACACGUAGGUAACCUGCCCCCCAGUCUGGAACAACUAGAGGAAACUCUAGCUAAUGCCGGAUGAGACCACGAUCCCCUUCGGGGGUUGCGGCCAAAGAUGGCCUCUACUUGUAAGCUAUCGCUGAGGGAUGGGCCUGCGGGCCAUUAGCUUGUUGGUGAGGUAACGGCUCACCAAGGCUGUGAUGGCUAGCUGGUCUGAGAGGAUGACCAGCCACACUGGGACUGAGACACGGCCCAGACUCCUACGGGAGGCAGCAGUGGGGAAUAUUGCGCAAUGGGCGAAAGCCUGACGCAGCGACGACCGCGUGGUGAUGAAGGCC